GCGACGACUUGCUGUAGAGCUGGCCGCUCUUGGAGCGGGCCUCCGCGUAGAACGAGCGCAGCACGCGGCACAGCGCCCCCUUGUCCAUGGUCUCGAAGUCCGGGCUCUGCGCCUUCUCGCUCAGGAGGAAGCAAUCGUCCUUUAGAAAAUGAAAGAAACCUUCCCAGAAUGUACACUGGCCUUAGUUUUCUGAUGGAUAGAGCAAAGUCAUCUAGAAUGCCUGCAAGAUCUUCAUGGAGAACAGGGAGGGGCUGUGAAGAAGCCAUCUGUUCCUUUCCACCCAGGAAUAUGUGCACUGAUGUCCUCGGGCUGGUUCAGGCAUCAUCUUUGAGGACAGAGUGAAAUUUAGAGGGGACAGGAGAUAGGGAGGAAGAUACAGCUGCAGCACUGCUCCAUUGCUCAUGAGCUCCCCCCUCCCACCACAGGUACUCCCUGGCGACCAGGAACUCAAACCUGGGUCUGCAUAUAUAAUGUGUCCUCUCCUAGCUGACACCAUAACAGAAUGGCACAUGAGAUUGCUCUGGGUUUGAGAAAAUGAUUUCAGUGCUCCAGGUUGAACCCAGGCCUCAUGUAAGCAAGAUAUGCUGUAUCUCUACCUUGGAGGCACCUCCUGGCCCAGAAAGUUUAUGAGAAAGAAAAAAAAAAAUCAGGUUAGCUAUUAAGCUCCAGUAAAAAUACCAUAGUCAUGGGCCCCUAGGAACAUACCCAAAAGAGACUUCCUAGCUUUUUAUCCACACUAAAAUCUCUAUUCCUAUCUGCUCUAUUCUUACUUUAUGGUUUCUGUUCAUUAAACAUUUUGCCCUGCUUUCAGACACCAAAUUGUGGAUGCUACUAUAACUUCAUCCUGAAUUCCCUGGGCAGACGACCUCACCAAUAUGUCCUGUAAACCCAUCUCCCCAGAGCCCUGUCCCACUAGGGAAAGAGAGAAAUAGGCUGGUGGUAUGGAUUAACCCACCAAUGUCUAUGUCCAAUACAGAAGCAAAUACAGAAACCAGACCUUCCACCUUCUGCACCUCAUAAAGAAUUUUGGUUCAUACUCCCAGAGGGGUAAAUGUUAGGGGAAGAUGACCAGAGGGUUCUGAAUUACAAUUCCAUCUGGAGAGGGGAGAAAAAAAAAGGGGGGGGGAAUGACACUCACAAGUAGUAGGUGUGACUUAGAAAGGAAGAGAAGAUAGAACCAUAGAAAAUGGAGAUAUAUAUAUAUAUAUAUAUAUUCAACCCAUGUCUGUGAUCUUGG